UACAGAGGUGGCAAGCGUUGUUCGGAAUUACUGGGCGUAAAGGGCGCGUAGGCGGCUUAACAAGUCACUUGUGAAAUCUCCGGGCUUAACUCGGAACGGCCAAGUGAAACUGUUAUGCUAGAGUGCAGAAGGGGCAAUCGGAAUUCUUGGUGUAGCGGUGAAAUGCGUAGAUAUCAAGAGGAACACCUGAGGUGAAGACGGGUUGCUGGGCUGACACUGACGCUGAUGCGCGAAAGCCAGGGGAGCAAACGGG
rnacentral:rRNA from 1 species